rnacentral:rRNA from 1 species
AGAGUUUGAUCAUGGCUCAGGACGAACGCUGGCGGCGUGCUUCACACAUGCAAGUCGAGCGGUAAGGCCCUUCGGGGUACACGAGCGGCGAACGGGUGAGUAACACGUGGGUGACCUGCCCUCCACUUCGGGAUAAGUCUGGGAAACUGGGUCUAAUACCGGAUAGGACCUUCUCCUGCAUGGGGGUUGGUGGAAAGUUUUUCGGUGGGGGAUGGGCCCGCGGUCUAUCAGCUUGUUGGUGGGGUGAUGGCCUACCAAGGCGACGACGGAUAGCCGGCCUGAGAGGGUGAUCGGCCACACUGGGACCGAGACACGGCCCAGACUCCUACGGGAGGCAGCAAUGGCCGACUUUUUCCAGAGAUCCAUCUCUGUCCCGGCCUCCGGAUCCUCCUUCUCGUCGUGUGUUACAAGUGUACACACGAGUAUGGCCAUUGAUUACCGGAUUCAA